rnacentral:snRNA from 1 species
ACGAAUCGAAUAACAAAUAUCC